rnacentral:lncRNA from 1 species
UAAAUGUGUAUUUAGACAAAUGGAGCUAUUUAUUUUGGUUCAACACCCUUUUUUUCUCCUUCAGUGUUGAAAAAGAAAGUAUGCUGUGUGGUUAUCUUGGAGGCCUCAUGAGUUUGGCCUGACAUCUCAGCUGUCCUUUGACCCCUGCAGCCACUGCAGCAGAAACCUACUGGCAGCCUCCUGCCUCAGCUCCUCCCAGGGCUUCUUGUUUUCUGCCCUGAAAAUGUCUACUUGGCACUCAGGCUGCAAUUAUGAGGCAUUGAGAAUGCACCUGACAGUUGGGCUGUCACCUCAUUUUAAAGCCUGCAGUCCAACAAAUCUUCAAUCUCCUUUUGUGAUUGCAGAGACAGGUGAGGAGCAAACAGGGGUCAAAGAACAGAGAUCCCAUCUGGGGCAUUUGAAGUUGUAUUGUUAUUUUCAUCGAUCAAAAUAUAUUCUCUUUGCGUGAACUACAGGCGUGUGGUCCAUGGUUGGAUUUCCACUGACUGCCAGGCCCCGCCUGCAUCACACAGACGUCACUGAGGCAGCUCGGGGUCCGUGUGGUCCUGAGCUGGGACUCAGCGCACCGAGAGGAUGACAGCGAUUCGACAGCUGCCAAAGGAGGGCCUGAGCAGGGGAAACCUUUCCAUCAGGCUAAUGAAACCUGUCAGCAACAGCAGGGACCCAGAUCCUGAUCUCCCAGAAUGCAAGAGGAGUGGAAAAGCAGCCAACUGGAGGAAGGAGGGGGAGGGAUAGGAAGAAGCAAAGAAUUCUUCAUCACACCCAGUUCUAGCAGGGGGAGCAGGAGUCUGGCCGGAGGCUGUCAUGAAACAAGAGAAAAUUAAAGUAUGGUACAAGAGUUGGCAAACUGCUGACUUUGUACUCUGGACAUGACUUCUAGGGUACACCUUCUCUAGAGACUGGUGGCAGAAGUGGGUUUGCUUAAGCUUCAGGGCCCCUCUGCCCUCUGCCCUUUCUAAUGCCUUGGGAGGGAAGGCCCUAGCAAGGCGUUCUGAGGCCUUGAGUUUUUGUGGACUCUGGAGUAGGAUGCUUUAACUGCAGUCCACUAAGCCUGCUAUGUCUCUCCACCUCGAUUUCCUUCAUGGACAGUUUUGGGAUUUGCUAAAGGAGGUUGAGUUAGGAAUACAUCAUAUUAACUGCAAUUUAGAAAGAUGUUUUGGAACAUUACAAUUACAAAGAAACAUAUAAGAAGGUAUAAACUCCUAUUUAGAUGUAUAUAAAGGGUAGCUUAUUUUACAUUAUUUAAACUCAUUUAUUUAGAAAAGGAGAGAAAGCUCAGCUAAACAUUAGUGGAGUAUGAAAUGAAAGAGUUAAGACAAGCGAUUAAGUCGAUAGAAGUUAUUUUGACACAGAGUUGGAAAGCAUAACACAAAACUUUCGGAUCAUACUGAAUCCAGUCAUUUCUAUGAGGAGGGGACAUUCUAUCAAGAGGAAUAAAUGGCAUUUGUAUUGUUUGAAAAUCUGAUUAAUUAAGAGCUGUGAAUGAUAUGAACUCAGUGGAAAAUAAUUUUAAAUUCAUAUGAAUUAAACAUGAAAUAUUGGCAUUGAUAAGGAGAAUAUUAAACUCUUAAUACUCCAAUACAAUGAGGACACGGAUGACAGGCUGGCUUUUGAAUACUGUCAGUUCAAAAACAUUUACAGAAAAAAAAAGACCCUAAAAUACCCUGUGUAUUAAAAUACAGUGUGUAUAUGAGAUAAACUUGUUAGUGCUUCCUUCAAAUUGGAUGAAAUCCAAGAGAGUUCUAACACAUGACUAAUAACUAAUUGCAAAGUUGAAAAGGACUUCUCUAAAUUAUUAAUAACUGAAGAAUUUCAAUGAAGCAUACUUGAUA